UGCAGAUGAUGUUAACCUUUUGCUGUCUCAGUACACUUGAUGACACCCACAACCACCAAGAUCACUGAUGCA
rnacentral:snoRNA from 1 species